rnacentral:rRNA from 1 species
CCCUUAGAUGUUCUGGGCCGCACGCGCGCUACACUGACGAAUGCAACGAGCUUAUAACCUUGGCCGAAAGGUCUGGGUAAUCUCCAAAUUUCGUCGUGAUGGGGAUAGAUUAUUGCAAUUAUUAAUCUUCAACGAGGAAUGCCUAGUAAGCGCAAGUCAUCAGCUUGCGUUGAUUACGUCCCUGCCCUUUGUACACACCGCCCGUCGCUCCUACCGAUUGAAUGGUCCGGUGAAGCGUUCGGACCGUGGCCUUUGGACGGUUCGCCGUCUGUUGGCUGCGGGAAGUUCAUUAAACCUUAUCAUUUAGAGGAAGGAGAANUCGUANCA